AGUGUUAGUAACUGGGCUCAAAAGCAAGCAUGCUUCCUGGACACAUUCAGCCUGCUGCUGGGUAGGCUGAGUACAUGAGGCAAAGCCACGCAUGGAAACAAGGGUGACACAGCCCCAGGAUGUGGUAAUGACAGAUGACAUUGGACCUGAUGUGAAGAUGGGGCAAGGGUGGUGGAAUCAGUGGGACCACGGUGCCUGCCACGGGAGGCACCUGCAGACGCCCACUGGCCUCUGCUUUCCCGAACAACACCACUGAAGCGGAGUUCUAGGGGCGCCUGGGGGGCUCAGUCGGUUGGGUGGCCGGCUUCGGCUCAGGUCAUGAUCUCGCGGUCAGUGAGUUCGAGCCCCGCGUCAGGCUCUGUGCUGACAGCUCGGAGCCUGGAGCCUGCUUCGGAUUCUGUGUCUCCCUCUCUCUCUGCCCCCCCCCCCCCCGCCGGCCCACUCACACUCUGUGUCUCUCUCUUUCUCUCAAAAAUAAAUAGCCAUUUAAAAAAUUUUUUUUGAAGCAGAGUUCUAGUUCCCUACACAUCCACUUGCUGACAAGCCAAGUAAGCAAGCGCUAAAUGACUCUAACGUUCCCUCCGGCGUUUCCAAGUGGGUCCCUAAUACCUUGUACAAUCGUUAACUAAUUAAUAGAAGUGGAAGGUUCAGAACGUGGGAGAAGAACUUAAUGAAAAUUGUUUUGAAUGGUAACUAAUUAUUGAUAAGCCAAGGGAAUCAGAUCUAAUUAGCAUGAACCUCUUCCUGAGAAAUCGGGUGUUGGGGUUUAGAACCAGUUUGAGGAGGGCUAGCUUUCCAAGGGAAAAUCAUCUCAAAGUGAGUUUUGAUGAAAAUUUCUGUUUUUGUUUUGCAGCCUUUAAAAAAAUCAUCAUCAUCAUCAUCAUCAUCAUCAUCAUCAUCAUCAGAUUUAGAAUCUGAAUGAAGGCAUUAAUGGCGUCCGGAGGCAAGGUGAUUUCCGAGACUUCGAGACUUCGGUCUUUGGUUGGAGUACCGCCAGCAGCUGAGCCAUCCCAACACCCCACUGCUCUCAGUAACGAGAAGCCACUAUUUGCCUUCUCGUCGCCCCUCCAGGAAGAAGCCUACCAGGUAUCCUAGAACCCGUCCCAGACAGCCGAUGGAAGAUUUGGCUCCCCCUCUCUCCAAGCUUUUGGAAAGUAAUCGUAGCACUGCAGAAAAUGAGUGGCUCCUUUUUGAGAUGGAUUGAGAAGAAGCCUUGCUGAGGCUUAAUCGCAUAAACGGAGGCACGGCUUUCCCACGCUCUCUCAACCGAUGGAAACAAAGAUGCUAAGCGUGAGGCUCUGUGUUCACUUACGCUUGAUUUUGUAUAAACCCUGCAUAUCAGAUUGGGUACCUACCCAUGGACAGCGAAUGAGGAAGAAGAUGCCUCCGACUUGGGGCAGCUCAAUGGAUCACCAGGCAGAGACCAGCAAUUAUCAGGUCUCUGCACGGGGCGUCUAGAAGACGGGCAAAUUCACGCAGCCCGGCCAAAGGGUGCGGAUUUACGCGCUGGCCUUUUCAGCUGGUCUUCAAAACUGAUUAGACGUUUGAAAAUGACACUCCUCCACAUUUCGUUUGUUCCUGAUAAUUCUCACUCCUUGAACUGUCCAGGCAGCUCAACAGAGAAGGGUAGAGAAGGUGAAGAAAACUACUAUGAUCGGUAGAUGUACGCUGUUCCCCUGCACAGGCGAAAAGGGAGAGAAGGGCAGAGCCAUGUGGAUUAAAUAGGCUGUCUUAUGCUGGGUCUCACCAGGCUUGAUGUUUUCGGCUUACAUCUGCAAUACCCGGAAUACAGCAGAUCCCCCCUUAUCCACCGAGGAUACAUUUUAGGACCCCGAGUGGGUGCCUGAAAUGGUGGCGAGCAAAAUCACAGAGAGAAGACAGACUUCUUCAUUAUGUGCAGAAUAACACUUUAAUGGACUUUUUCUUUAUGAAACUCAUAAAUCCCAGAUCAUCUUCUGGAAUAAAGAAUCUAAAUGUUUUCCAUAAUUAAAAUGUCUUCGCUGAGGGCAGAAUUGCAAAUCUCAGAUGAUUUCCUUCUAGAAACAACUUUUUUCCGCCCUUCUGUGGAAGCCUCAGAAAAGACCCAUUUGGACUCCAAGUUGGGAAGACAUGGCCCUUUGGAAGCUGGGUUGGCCUUUUCAUCAUGACCAUGGGAUAGGGCCUACGGAGAACAGUGUCCAAUGGAAACCCGAGGAAGUCUUGGUGCAUUGGCUCCAAGAGCAGCCGAAGCUUCUGUUAUCCCCACGCUUUCACCAAAACCUUGUUAAUUAUUAUAAUCUAUAUUUAGCAUUAAGGGAUGGUCCAGGGUUCAAGCUUGAGCAGAGCAGUUCUGGAAACAACAGAAACCCCGGAAAAGCCAGAGUCCAGUCCAUGCGGGUGACUGGACGUGGGCCGGAGGAGCAGACAAGAGCCAGACGGUGUCAUUUGGGACGUCAUAGAAUACAGGCCUUGGACCACUGUCUUCAAGGUGUUACUGAGCAUGUGACUCAUGUAGGCUAGAGGGGUCUGGGGCACUUGGGUGUCAGGCAAAUUUACUUAGCAAUUCCUUAUGCUUUUAUAUGCAUGGCAUCCCACCCUGGAGUCACUGGCUCAAAUUCUUGGCUAAAGGACACACAGAACACUCUUCUUAUUACUCUGAUUUCCCUCUCCCCAGCCAGGUUGAACCUCCCUGCAGGCACCUGUCACCUAACACGGUUUCCAUAAAUACCUCUUGAAGAGCAGCCCAGGGCCUCGAGUCCUGUAACCCCUUUUCCACAAAGCCUUUUGGAGGCACAACAGAACUGUGGCUUAGAAACUUGGGAUCAUAAAGCCAGAAAAUGCUAGAUUCAACCCGUCAGAAAUAGCUUGCUCGUCGCCAGGUCUAACCCCCUGAGGAUCCACUUGUUCCUUGUUUUUCUUUUCUUUUUUUCUAUUUUUUUUUAAUGCUUUAUUUAUUAUUGAGAGACAGAGAGACACAGAACGUGAGCAGGGGAGGGGCAGAGGGAGAGGGAGACACAGAAUCCGAAGCAGGCUCCAGGCUCUGAGCUGUCAGUAUAGAGCCUGACGUGAGGCUCGAACUCACAAACUGCGAGAUCAUGACCUGAGCCGAAGUUGGUCGCUUAACCGAGAACGACUUUCCGUCUCCUUGAGAUCACUGAUGUUGCCAUCCGGCACCACCCAGCAGAAGAGGGGGGGAGGCUUGGUGCAAAGCCCUAUGUCCUCUUGAUCCUAAGGCCUCCAACUGGUCCACAUCUAGAGAUUCCAAAGAGGCAGCGGUGUGGGGGUCCCUGUUGUGAUGUCCUGUAUGGAGACUAAGACAGGCUGGCCUCAUACCUCCAGAAAGAGAGAAUUUUU